CAGAGUGUAGCUUAAAAGAAAAGCAUCUCCCUUACACCGAGAAGUCGCUUGUGCAAAUCAAGCCACCCUGAC
rnacentral:tRNA from 1 species